GAAACCGUUCAGGGGUAAACCUGAGAAACCCGAAAGGUCGAAAGGGGAAAUUCAUUCGCGUCUCGACCGUCGGAGCGGAGCGUUCGCGCGACGGACGGCGUACGCGUCGUCCGCGCCUUUCGUUCCGCGAUCCGGCGUCGAACGCGUGCACUUUUCCCCUAGUAGGACGUCGCGAUCCGUUGGGUGUCGGUCUAAGGCUCGCGGUGGAGCCCGAGCGUGCGUCUUCGGGCGUUCGCGCUCGGACCCGCGGUGUCCCGGCCGACCCGCUCGACGGUAUACAGAUGGCGCGGGGCCGCAAAUUCAAUUUGCGUUCGGCCCGUGGCAAGCGCGUACGGCGUUGACGGCGAUCGGACCUGGUGCCGAUCCCGUCCCCGGACGACUGUUGGCUGCGGUGCUCUCGAACAGACCUCGUUCGAAACGCCGAUCUGCGACGCUAUAGCUUUGGGUACUUUCAGGACCCGUCUUGAAACACGGACCAAGGAGUCUAGCAUGUGCGCGAGUCAUUGGGACAUAACUAAACCUAAAGGCGCAAUGAAAGUGAAGGUCCGUCUCGCGCGGACCGAGGGAGGAUGGGCGGUUCGUACUUCGUGCGGCCGCUCCGCACUCCCGGGGCGUCUCAUUCUCAUCGCGAGAAGAGGCGCACCAAGAGCGUACACGCUGG
rnacentral:rRNA from 1 species